AUCGCUUCUUGGCCUUUUGGCUAAGAUCAAGUGAAGAGAAUAGUCCCCCAAAUAUUAUGAGAUAACGUUGUUAAAUGACAGAGCUUUUUAGUGUAACUGUUAAAAGGACUCAGCACUUGUGAUAUAUUUGUUAGAGACAUAUUGCUGUACUUUGUGGCACCUUUA
ensembl:snRNA U2 U2 spliceosomal RNA